rnacentral:ncRNA from 1 species
CAAAGGCAUGGUCCCGACCUUUCUAUCAGCUAUAGCACAACUUACACAUGCAAGUCUCCGCAACCCAGUGAAUAUGCCCUCAAUCCCCCGCCCGGGGACGAGGAGCGGGCAUCAGGCACAAACAUCAGCCCAAGACGCCUAGCCAAGCCACACCCCCAAGGGAAUUCAGCAGUGAUAAACAUUAAGCCAUGAGUGAAAACUUGACUUAGUCAGUGUUAACAGGGCCGGUAAAACUCGUGCCAGCCACCGCGGUUAGACGAGAGGCCCUAGUUGAUAUUAUAACGGCGUAAAGGGUGGUUAAGGAUAAACAAUUUUUUAAAGCCAAAUGGCCCCUUGGCCGUCAUACGCUUCUGGGCGUCCGAAGUCCUAUAUACGAAAGUAGCUUUAAUAACCUACCUGACCCCACGAAAGCUGAGAAACAAACUGGGAUUAGAUACCCCACUAUGCUCAGCCGUAAACCAAGACAUCCACCUACAAUUAGAUGUCCGCCAGGGCACUACAAGCAGCAGCUUAAAACCCAAAGGACCUGACGGUGUCUCAGACCCCCCUAGAGGAGCCUGUUCUAGAACCGAUAACCCUCGUUAAACCUCACCACUUCUAGCCAUUCCAGCCUAUAUACCGCCGUCGUCAGCUUACCCUGUGAAGGGAUAAAAGUAAGCAAAAUGGGCACAGCCCUGAACGUCAGGUCGAGGUGUAGCGAAUGAGGUGGGAAGAAAUGGGCUACAUUUUCUACUACAGAAUAUUACGAAUACGCACCAUGAAAACCGUGCUUGAAGGAGGAUUUAGAAGUAAAGGGGAAACAGAGCGUCCCUUUGAACCCGGCUCUGAGACGCGUACACACCGCCCGUCACCCUCCCCGUUAAAUAUAUCAAGAAAUACCUAAUACAAUUAUACUAAUAAGGGGAGGCAAGUCGUAACAUGGUAAGUGUACCGGAAGGUGCACUUGGAUCAAACC